GCCUGGCUGGCUUGGUCAGUAGAGCAUGUGACUUGUGAUCUCAGGGUCAUGAGUUCAAGCCCCAUGCUGGGUA
rnacentral:tRNA from 1 species